GAGCGGACCUCUUCGGAGGUCAGCGGCGGACGGGUGAGUAACACGUGGGCAACCUGCCUGUAAGACUGGGAUAACUCCGGGAAACCGGAGCUAAUACCGGAUACUAUGUCAAACCGCAUGGUUUGACAUUCAAAGACGGUUUCGGCUGUCACUUACAGAUGGGCCCGCGGCGCAUUAGCUAGUUGGUGAGGUAAUGGCUCACCAAGGCGACGAUGCGUAGCCGACCUGAGAGGGUGAUCGGCCACACUGGGACUGAGACACGGCCCAGACUCCUACGGGAGGCAGCAGUAGGGAAUCUUCCGCAAUGGACGAAAGUCUGACGGAGCAACGCCGCGUGAGUGAUGAAGGUUUUCGGAUCGUAAAACUCUGUUGUCAGGGAAGAACAAGUGCCGGAGUAACUGCCGGCACCUUGACGGUACCUGACCAGAAAGCCACGGCUAACUACGUGCCAGCAGCCGCGGUAAUACGUAGGUGGCAAGCGUUGUCCGGAAUUAUUGGGCGUAAAGCGCGCGCAGGCGGUUUCUUAAGUCUGAUGUGAAAGCCCCCGGCUCAACCGGGGAGGGUCAUUGGAAACUGGGAAACUUGAGUGCAGAAGAGGAGAGUGGAAUUCCACGUGUAGCGGUGAAAUGCGUAGAGAUGUGGAGGAACACCAGUGGCGAAGGCGACUCUCUGGUCUGUAACUGACGCUGAG
rnacentral:rRNA from 2 species